GGUUAACCUGCCAAGACAGGCAGAGGAAGUCUGCCGAUAAUGAGCCAAUGGCAAGGACUCAUCACCCCGUGGUGGUUCCUACAUGCUGCCAUCUCAUUGGUCAAAGGUAUCCCCCAGCUUCCUGUCAGGCAUUUUCUGUUAUUCCAGCCCAAAGGAUGGCUAGCACAGAAAUUAGAGGAGCUGUACCGUUUGCUAAGGAUUGGCAUAGCCAAAGCGAAACUAACUUUAAAAUGAGUGGCCGUGUACUUGACCUCUGCCACACAUGGAACAGAGAAGUACACACGAUGGAGGUGGUGCUGCUUACAUACUUGGAUAACACAGCAAAAGGCCUUUGCCAGAUGUGGACACCUCAGCUUGGACUUCAAGCUCCAGAACUUAAUGAAUUCAUACAAUGUGAAUGUGAAUAUUAUGAUAAAAGAAGAAACAGAGAUUCAGCAUUUUGA
rnacentral:lncRNA from 1 species